AGACACGCUGGACUUAAAAUCCAGUGAACAGCAAUGUUCGUGCGGGUUCAAGUCCCGCUCUGAGUA
rnacentral:tRNA from 1 species